GAUCUUUGACAUACUUGAUACGAACAAUGGCAACGAAAAUUACUCCGCAGGUGAAAUGCCUGCACGUGAUUAACCCAUUGUCGUUAGCCUGCGACCUAAUGUGCGCAGGGCGAAGCCGUGGCAGGCACGGAAUACCUCGAGGCUCGCAAGCCUCCUGACGACAC
rnacentral:sRNA from 1 species